rnacentral:rRNA from 1 species
AACGAACGCUGGCGGCAUGCCUAACACAUGCAAGUCGAACGAGACCUUCGGGUCUAGUGGCGCACGGGUGCGUAACGCGUGGGAACCUGCCCUUAGGUUCGGAAUAACUCCCCGAAAGGGGUGCUAAUACCGGAUAAUGUCUUCGGACCAAAGAUUUAUCGCCUUUGGAUGGGCCCGCGUUGGAUUAGCUAGUUGGUAGGGUAAAAGCCUACCAAGGCGACGAUCCAUAGCUGGUCUGAGAGGAUGAUCAGCCACACUGGGACUGAGACACGGCUCAGACUCGUACGGGAGGCAGCAGUGGGGAAUAUUGGACAAUGGGCGAAAGCCUGAUCCAGCAAUGCCGCGUGAGUGAUGAAGGCCUUAGGGUUGUAAAGCUCUUUUACCCGGGAUGAUAAUGACAGUACCGGGAGAAUAAGCUCCGGCUAACUCCGUG